rnacentral:lncRNA from 1 species
CAAACAGCCAACUGUUCAUCAUGCUGUCAUCACAGCGUUUCCAUGCUGAAAGCGCAACAUAAUUACAGCCAUUUAGUUUUCCUACUUGUUUCUCUGAAUGAAAAGUUCCGUAACCAAAAUCACUCACCGAAAUCGCAUCGAAUAAAAUUGGUUUCAACUCCAAACACCGUAACACAUGUGACAGCAAAAUGGCUGUGAAGGACGUGAAGAAGAAACUCGAAAAGAGCGAAUGUUGGCUGGUUGUUCAGGCGGGAAAGGGGAAGUCAGAUCUGUGGAAAGUAUUUGACUGUGGAAACUACUGGAAGGAAGGUAUAGUGUUGCAUCUUGUGCAGGAUAUGGCCAUUCAUUUGUGCUACCCACAAUCCCUCAGGAUUGUAGAGAGACUCCCAAAGGAAGAGAAUGACAGAGUCCAUCCAAAUCAUCUUGGCUCCUGGACUCAUUUCAAGGCUGCGUUUGAAACAAUGACAUAUCAAUGAUCCAAGACCAGCUCAGUUAAUC